rnacentral:rRNA from 1 species
GUCCUGGCAGUAAACGGUGCACGUUUGGUGUUGGAGGAUUCGACCCCUUCCGUGCCGGAGCUAACGCGUUAAACGUGCCGCCUGGGGAGUACGGUCGCAAGAUUAAAACUCAAAGAAAUUGACGGGGGCCCGCACAAGCGGUGGAGUAUGUGGCUUAAUUCGAUGCAACGCGAAGAACCUUACCUGGCCUUGACAUGCAUCUCUAAGUCGGUGAAAGCCGGCGACUGUAGCAAUACAGAAUUUGCACAGGUGCUGCAUGGCUGUCGU